rnacentral:rRNA from 1 species
GACGAACGCUGGCGGCGUGCUUAACACAUGCAAGUCGAACGAAGCUUGAUUACGGAUUCUUCGGAUGAAGUAUGAUAUGACUGAGUGGCGGACGGGUGAGUAACGCGUGAGUAACCUGCCCUUCAGAGGGGGAUAGCGUUUGGAAACGAACGGUAAUACCGCAUAAUGUAUUUUGACCGCAUGAUCGAAAUACCAAAGAUUUAUCGCUGAAGGAUGGACUCGCGUCUGAUUAGGUAGUUGGUGGGGUAACGGCCUACCAAGCCGACGAUCAGUAGCCGGACGGGGAGGUGGAUCGGCCACAUUGGAACGGGGACACGGCCCGGACUCCUACGGGAGGCAGCGGUGGGAAAUAUUGCACAAUGGGCGCAGGCCGGAGGCGGCAACGCGGCGGAAAGAAAGACGGUUUUCGGAUUGUAAACUUCUGUUCUAGUGAAGAAUAAUGACGGUAGCUAAGGAGCAAGCCACGGCUAACUACGUG